rnacentral:tRNA from 1 species
AGGGCGGUAGCUCAACUGGUAGAGCGGCGGUCUCCAAAACCGCAGGUUGGGGGUUCGAAACCCUCCCGCCCUG